GCGAAAGGGAAUUGCUAUGGCUUCUGUGGUCGCUGGAGGUACCAAGAAUUUGUGAUUUUUGGGGUUUUAAUGCUUGAGAAACACAGGAAGGAAGUGGGCUUGAAGAGGGAGUGGAGAUAGAAGGGAAGAAGAAAGCUGAAUCAGCAACCUAAAUGGUCGUCUCCAGUACUAAUUCCCACAAGGAGAUAACUGUUAGGAGAAGGAUUGCCAGCAUAUUUAAUAAAAGAGAGGAGGAUUUUCCUUCACUGAGGGAAUACAAUGAUUACUUGGAGGAAGUGGAGGACAUGAUAUUUAACUUAGUUGCUGGAGUGGAUGUCCCUGCUAUUGAAGAAAAAAUUGCAAAGUACCAGAAAGAAAAUGCUGAACAAAUAAUGAUAAAUCAGGCACGGAAGGCUGAAGAAUUAGCUGCAGCUUUGGCAGCUAGCAAGGGACUUCCUGCACAGACUGAUACUGAUGGGAGCUCUCAAGGAGGCUUUGGCAUUGAACCCGGGCAAUAUGCACCAUCAGUUCCUGGAGGACAGCCACGACCAACAGGCAUGGCUCCACAACCAGUGCCACUUGGGGGUCCAGAUAUGCACGAUGAUGAGGAAACGAUGAGACUCCGGAUAGAGAGGGGGAGCAGGGCUGGUGGUUGGAGCAUAGAGCUUAGCAAGAAAAGGGCACUUGAGGAAGCUUUUGCAAGUAUCUGGAUUUAGUAUCUUUUCAUUGGUUGUCUUCUAUACAUUACACUGCAAUUGUCAUCCAUGUGAGCCCCCAAAAAGUUAGAAGUAAGGUAGGGACUAUCCAUUGUUUUUGUAACAUGCUGACACAGGAUUUGGGGCUUUUCUCAAUUUAUUUUAGUGUUCUAGAUUUUCCAUUAUGUAGUAUAAUUAGUAAUUAUACUUGCUUUCAGUUGGAAGUAUUUUAGGCAGAUAGCCUU
rnacentral:misc_RNA from 1 species